rnacentral:siRNA from 1 species
UCAUUUAUCGGAAGGUCACCCAUC